ensembl:lncRNA
GUAAGUCUCACAAGCACAAGAACAAUUGUUUUAUUUAAAUAAGCAGUAUGUUGGAUGUGCAAACAUGGCUACUGUUUAAAAGUGUACUAAUAGUAACUGAAAAGAUGGUGCUGUGAUGGGUAUUGAAGGGAGAGGACUCAAAUGCGAGGGCAAAAUGACAGUCUUUAAUCAAACAAAGGAAAGCCACAGGAAAAUCCAAAUAAGGAGUACAAAAGGUGAAAACCAAGGCAGACCCGCAGGCUGGGUAUAAGUAACACAGGAGACCUCUGUGGCUGGAACAACCAGCAGGCUGGCGAGGCGGAGGCUUGACCGGGCUCAGGGGAGAUUCGGGGAUCGGAGCUCGCAGAGCGGGGAGGCCGCGGCGUUGGACAGCAGGUAGGGCGCUGCCAUCAAGGGCAAAUAAAAGGGUGGAGUCUCUAAGCGGUGUGAGCGGAAUACCUUGUUGGAGCGCCCACUUCUCAUCCACAAAGUUUCCCUCGGCCCCAGAAUCGAUCAAGGCCGCACAGGAGGCUGACGACCCCGCCCACUGGAGAUGCGCUGGAAGUGUCGUGCAGGAAGUGGAAGGGAUAGUGUUAGUGGUAGCGCUCGCCAGUAACCCUCCUCCUACUGGCGAGCGUUGGCUUUUACCGGACAGGAAGACACAAAGUGAGAGGCACUAGCACAGUACAUACAGAGGCGGUUCUGAAUCCUCCUCUGACGCUCCUUAGAAGAGAUACGCAGGCCACCCAGCUGCAUAGGUUCAGGUUCAGAGUGGGAGGGGCUGACACGAGGCGACGAGAAAAGACUCUCCUCCAGGCGAUGAGCACGACGGCGUUGGUCAAACCGUCUCUCCACACGGAUGGCCAGGUCGAUAAGAUCGUCGAGCCGGGUAGGGAUCUCACGGACGAGGACCUCGUCCCGCACCUCAGGAGACAAGCCCUCCAGGAAGCGAGCGGUCAGGGCAACCUUGGCUCUCUCCUUAGCAUAUGUGGAGGGCUGGAGCGAGAAGACCACCUCGCACUGAGUAAGGAAGGCGCGGCACUGUGUUGGCUCACCCGAAUAGGCCGGAGGAUUAUUUAUCCGAGGCUCCGUCUGAACAGGAGGACACUGAGAGGCGGACGGCUGGAGACGGAGGUUGUGAACCUGGCUGGACAGCUCGGACAUCUGGGCGGCCAAAGAACCGACGGCGUGUCGGGUAGCGGAGAUGUCCUCCUCAUGCUUCCCGAGGAGGACGCCCUGGUGCUCAACGGCGGUCUGGAACGGGCUGCCACUCGCUGAGUCCAUCAUAUUGGUCAGAUUGUUCUGUGAUGGGUAUUGAAGGG